UGCCAGACUCCUACGGGAGGCAGCAGUGGGGGAUAUUGCACAAUGGGGGGAACCCUGAUGCAGCGACGCCGCGUGGGUGAAGGAGUGCUUCGGCAUGUAAAGCCCUAUCGGCAGGGAAGAAGCAAGACGGUACCUGACUAAGAAGCCCCGGCUAACUACGUGCCAGCAGCCGCGGGAAUACGUAGGGGGCAAGCGUUAUCCGGAUUUACUGGGUGUAAAGGGGGCGCAGACGGCGAUGCAAGCCAGGAGUGAAAGCCCGGGGCCCAACCCCGGGACUGCUCUUGGAACUGCGUGGCUGGAGUGCAGGAGGGGCAGGCGGAAUUCCUGGUGUAGCGGUGAAAUGCGUAGAUAUCAGGAGGAACACCGGUGGCGAAGGCGGCCUGCUGGACUGCAACUGACGUUGAGGCCCGAAAGCGUGGGGAGCAAACAGGAUUAGAUACCCGCGUACC
rnacentral:rRNA from 1 species